rnacentral:rRNA from 1 species
GAUGAACGCUAGCGGCAGGCUUAACACAUGCAAGUCGAGGGGUAUAGUAGCAAUACUAGAGACCGGCGCACGGGUGCGUAACGCGUAUGCAACCUACCUUUUACAGAGGGAUAGCCCAGAGAAAUGUGGAUUAAUACCUCAUAGUUCUGAGAAGUCGCAUGAUUUUUCAGAUAAAAACUCCGGUGGUUAUAGAUGGGCAUGCGUGACAUUAGCUAGUUGGUAAGGUAACGGCUUACCAAGGCAACGAUGUCUAGGGGUUCUGAGAGGAUGAUCCCCCANACUGGUACUGAGACACGGACCAGACUCCCACGGGAGGCAGCAGUAAGGAAUAUUGGUCAAUGGACGGAAGUCUGAACCAGCCAUCCCGCGUGCAGGAUGACUGCCCUAUGGGUUGUAAACUGCUUUUAGCAGAGACGAAACGCCUUCAUUUAUGAGGGUCUGACGGUAUCUGCAGAAUAAGCACCGGCUAACUACGUGCCAGCA